GUGAGGCAUCUCCUUCAAGCAAGCACUGAGCCUCCUGAGGCUUCAGCUCCCUGGGGUGGGGCAUCUUACAUGGCUGCUGUGUGCUCAUAUCUCACCUCCACAUGCAGCCCUCAGGCCGGAUGGUGUUUCCGGUAGUAGGAAAACCCCCUUACAGAAGUGAACCAGUGACUUAAUGUCAACUUCUUUCCAGAGAGGCAAAAAUAGAGAAAACAUCUUCCAUAUGAAAUUCUUCCCAAGGGAGAAGGUAUGCAGAGGAAAAGCAGAGGCCUUCCUCUCCCCAAGGUAACCGCCGCCAAAAAUUGGUGAACCUGGACACAUGUGUACCGGCCUCUUUGUCCACAUGCUGGUGUUUGUUGGAUGUCCAAACUACAGAAAGCCUGCAUGCCGAGUGGAACGAGCAAGGUCUUAGGAGCAGGCAGGCUGAACUCCAAUCCCAGCUGGCUGGUGCUUUUCGAUUAGCUCACCCAGUUCAGGCCAACAUUUUGUCAGCUGUAAAGUAGAGAUAAUAGUAAUCUUGCUGGGUUGGUAUGAAAUUAGAAACGUCUAUCAAAUACUGAGCACAGUGUAUGGGGUAGAUUCUCAAUAAGUAAUAAUUUUUAUUGUUAAUAUUAACCUGGUAAUAUUAUUUGCUAUCCCCACAUUUCACAAUCCUCUUUGCACUUGUAUUUCCA